CUGUUUAGUCUUGUUGCAUGCAGACUUAGCUCUUUCUCUCUCUCAUCUCUUUAGCUGUGUGUUUUAUGGGCUUUCUUCCCAAGGAGAAAUCUCUUGUGCCUUUAUUACACUUGGCAGCUCGCUGCUUCCUCUCUUUGGAAAGCAAGCUUGCUACUUGUGGCUCUUUCUUAAAGCUUGGUGGCUGACUUUACAGCUCACUUCUCUGCUGCUAAGUAGAACAUGAAUUUCAACUUCCUUCUACCCUUCAAAAUUCCAGAUGAUACUGUAAUGCUGCUUUAUCUGGGGUUUCUCAGCAGUCAAGGGAUGAGGUAAUGUUUCAGGGUGUGCAUUUGUUCUGCAGCCUUUGCUUUGUCAUUAAUAUAUCAGUCAGAUAUUUCAGAACUCUCAGUUUGUGCCUGUUUCGGGCUUUGUGGUCAUACUCUAGCUAGCUGUGUUGUAGAAAACGAAUCCAUAGCAGAAGAGAAGCAAUUCUUGUUAUGAAGACACUGUGACAAUCUAGAUAAGAACAGCUGCAAGUGUGUCAGGACAAAACAAAACCUCAUCACUGCCAACUGAUGACGCCUCUCUGACACUACAGAUCUGGGGAAAUUCUGGUGCUUGGCUAUACUUCAGCUACUUCCUGUGAUACUCCUGAAAUGAAAACUUUCUGCUCAUUGAAAAAGAGCACUGGAUGGAAAGGCAGCAGGUUUUAAUACGGAAACUUUGAUGAUGUGGCUUCUGCAUUUCCAUGUUGGAAACAAGGCUGACUGCAUGUUUCUAUGAUCACAGAAUCACAGAAGAUGCUGAGUUGGAAGGGACCCAUCAGGAUCAUUGAGUCCAACUCCUGGCCCUGACCCCAAGAAUCACACCCUGCGCCUGAGUGUGUUAUUCAAACACUUCUUGAAACCAGACAGGCUUGGUGCUGUGACCACUUCCUUGGGAAGCCUGUUUCAGUGCUCAGCCAAUUUUGGAUGGACAACUUUUUCCUGAUAUCAAACCUAAAUCUCCCCUGACUCAGCUUCAUGAUUUUUCCUCAAGUCCUGUCCCUGGUCACAAGAGUGAAGAGAUCGACACUUGUCCCUUUGCUUCCCCUCAUGAGGAUGUUGAAGACCACAAUGAGGUCUCCCAGUCUCCUCCAGACUGAACAAACCAAGAAAAUGGAUGAAAUUCACAUUCUGGGGAAAGCUGAAGACAGAGGUCAGAUUUUUUUUUUU